UACGGAGGUGGCAAGCGUUGUUCGGAAUUACUGGGCGUAAAGGGCGCGUAGGCGGCUAGGCAAGUCAGGUGUGAAAGCCCCGGGCUUAACCCGGGAAUUGCAUCUGAAACUGCUGUGCUUGAGUUCUGGAGGGGGUAGUGGAAUUCCCAGUGUAGCGGUGAAAUGCGUAGAUAUUGGGAGGAACACCUGCGGCGAAAGCGGCGUGCUGGACCUUUUUCUGACGCUGAGUGCGCGAAAGCCAGGGGGAGCAAACGGGG
rnacentral:rRNA from 1 species